UACGAAGGGGGCUAGCGUUGCUCGGAAUUACUGGGCGUAAAGGGAGCGUAGGCGGAUAGUUUAGUCAGAGGUGAAAGCCCAGGGCUCAACCUUGGAAUUGCCUUUGAUACUGGCUAUCUUGAGUACGGAAGAGGUAUGUGGAACUCCGAGUGUAGAGGUGAAAUUCGUAGAUAUUCGGAAGAACACCAGUGGCGAAGGCGGCUCACUGGCCCGGUACUGACGCUGAGGUGCGAAAGCGUGGGGAGCAAACAGG
rnacentral:rRNA from 1 species